rnacentral:lncRNA from 1 species
CCUUGCUCAAAAACAAAGUAACUUCUCUGUCAACCAAAGAAAGAAUAGAAGCAUACAAUGCCGAAUGGAAUACAAAGCCCAUAGUUUCAAAUAGAGGCAGAGACAGCUGGACAUUUGAGUCCUACAGGGAAAAGGAACCCCAAACCAUCCGUGCAUGCAUAUGUGGGGUGGGGGUGAUGGGUGGAAUAUUUAAUCAGUGUUUGUAAAGGUUGAAUUUAUAGGUUCUUUUACAAGAAAGAAGAGAGCUGCUUGGAGCUAAAUACCCCGAAGCAAAUAACCUACUGGAGAUGAAUAGAAGCUCUCUGCUGUAGAUGGGGUUUUCCUUCAUCCUGUCUACAUCACGUUUUUGUCAUUUGCCUCACAUCUAUAGCCUUUGGACUUCUCAUCUCUGCCAAAGAAACGUGGGCCAGAUGCUCCUUGAAGAAAGACUGCGACUGUGCAUGUCAACCACUACUUCUCAUACUGAAGCCUAGGAAGAAAUGUCAGAACUGGCCAAGGGAAGCUGACACCCUGCGAAACACACCCAGAUCCUGCUUUCCUAGGACAGAAAAAAUGACCUCUGGCCUCUCUUUGCAAACUUUAGUUAAGAGUUGGGAGUAAGAGAUUCAUGACCACCAAGAAAGGUAAGUUACUCACAUAUGUAUAGAUACAAUACUCUUAUUUUGUGCUCUUUUUUCUCCAAUCUUCAAUAAAUCACCUAAAAUAUAAUAAGACUUCUGUGCAGCCCGAUGGAGUAAACACUUCUGGAAUAAUUUUUCCUUCCCCAUUUCUCCAACAUCUUUCUUAUGACAUUUUUUUUUCCGAAAUUCAUUGGUCCUUG